rnacentral:rRNA from 1 species
CGCCCUGAGAGGCCGCCGACUAGCACUCCUGUUGGGAGCCGGCCAACAGCAGUUGCUUCUGGCCCAGAAGGGAGCGUAUAGCCGUUCGCGACUGAGGAGAGCAGCGCAGGCCCCCGGGCCGCCUCUGUCCGUUUUCCCGCGGCGGGGGCAGUGUCUGCUGACGGUUCGCCUGCUCGGUCGGGGGGUCGGCCACGCCUUGCGCUGGGGCUGUUGGUGCUCAAAUGGCUGCAUCCGACCCGUCUUGAAACACGGACCAAGGAGUGCAACAUGCGUGCGAGUCUUGGAGUGGAAAACUCGUCGGCGCAAUGAAGGUGAAGGCAGGCCGCAUCGUCGACCGAUCCCAGGCUACGCUGUGGCGGGAUUUGAGUAAGAGCGUGCCUGUUGCGACCCGAAAGAUGGUGAACUAUGCCUG